UGGUGGAGUGAUUUGUCUGGUUAAUUCCGAUAACGAACGAGACCUUAACCUGCUAAAUAGUCCGGCCGGCUUUGGCUGGUCGCAGACUUCUUAGAGGGACUGUCAGCGUCUAGCUGACGGAAGUUUGAGGCAAUAACA
rnacentral:rRNA from 1 species